CCUACGGGUGGCAGCAGUGGGGAAUAUUGCACAAUGGGGGAAACCCUGAUGCAGCGACGCCGCGUGAGUGAAGAAGUAUUUCGGUAUGUAAAGCUCUAUCAGCAGGGGAGCAGAAAGACGGAACCUGACUAAGAUGCCCCGGCUAACUACGUGCCAACCGCCGCGGUAAUACGUAGGGGGCAAGCGUUAACCGGAUUUACUGGGGGUAAAGGGAGCGUAGACGGCUGUGCAAGGCUGAAGUGAAAGCCCAGGGCUCAACCCUGGGACUGCUUUGGAAACUGUGGGGCUAGAGUGCUGGAGAGGUAAGCGGAAUUCGCGGUGUAGCGGUGAAAUGCGUAGAUAUUAGGAGGAACACCGGUGGCGAAGGCGGCUUACUGGACAGUAACUGACGUUGAGGCUCGAAAGCGUGGGGAGCAAACAGGAUUAGAUACCCCGGUAGUC
rnacentral:rRNA from 1 species